CCUGAACUUUGCUCAAGGCACAGAGGACGUCAUCCCAUUGUUCAGAUGGGGAAACCGAGGCAGGACUCAAGUGGCCUCAUGCCUGAAGCUGAGCCAGGCUCCCAUCCCCGGCCCACCUGUCCUGUCCCCCACCGACCCCACCUCACCCCGCCAGGCUCCUUCACCUGCACCUGGUGCCUUCCAGAAACGGGGGAGGCCACUCCAGGCUGUCAGCCCUCUGGCACAAAGGCUGGGAGGUCAGAAGCCAUCCAGGGACGCCUUGCCACGCUAAGAAGGCAUAGAGAAGAUACAAAAUCCAGAACCAUGCAAGGAGAAAAUUCUUCAAAUUUGACCACACAGGCCAGACACGGCAGCUCAUGUCUGUAUUCCCAGCACUUUGGGAGGCCAAGGCGGCGGGAUCACUUGAGGCCAGGAGGUUGAGGCCAACCUUGGCAACAUAGCGAGACCACCAUCUCUACAAAAAAAAUACAAAAAUUAGGCCGGGCCUGGUGGCAUGUGCCUGUAGUCCCGGCUACUCUGGAGGCUGAGGCAGGAGGAUCACCUGAGUCUGGGGAGGUUGAGGCUGCAUUGAGCCAUGGUUGUGUGACUGCACUCCAGCCUGGGCAACAGAACGAGACUCAGACUCAAAAAAAAAAAUGUUUUUUAGGCUGGGUAUGAUGGCUCACGCCUGUUAUCCUAGCGCUUUGGGAGGCCGAGGUGGGCAGAUCACUUGAGAUCAGGAGUUCGAGAUCAGCCUGGCCAACAUGAUGAAAUCCACUCUGUACUAAAAAUACAAAAAUUAGCCGAGCACAGAGGCAGGCGCCUGUAAUCCGAGCUACUUGGAGGCUGAGGCAGGAGAAUUACUUGAACCUGGAAGGAAGAGGUUGCAGUGAGCCGAGAUCAUGCCACUGCAUUCCAGCCUGGGACACAAGAAUGAGACUCUGACUCAAAAAAAAAAAAAAAAAAGUUUUUCGACUACAUAAAAAUUAAACACUUUUGUGUGGUCACAGACUCACAAUGAAGUUAGAUGAGAUGAGAAAGCUAGGGAGAAACUAUUUGCAACAUCAUAACAGACAAAGGGUUUGGGCUCUUCGUAUACAAAGAGUUCCAACAAAUCAAUAAGGAAAAAACUCAAAAAAAAAAAGAAACCAUGCAAAGAAAUGAGUGAUUAAUUCAUACAGGAAAAAAUUAAAAUGGCCACUGGAUACACAGACGAAUAAAAAACCUAAAGUCACUCUUGGUGAAAAAGAUACAAAUGGGCCGGGCGCGGUGGCUCAUGCCUG
rnacentral:lncRNA from 10 species